UAAUAAUUAUGAUGUCUGAAAAACUUUUUAAACAAGCAAAACUUUCAACAACGGAUCUCUUGGUUCCGGCAUCGAUGAAGAACGCAGCGAAAUGCGAUAAGUAAUGUGGACCGCAGUACUCAGCGACUCAUCGAAUCUUUGAACGCAUAUUGCGCCCUU
rnacentral:rRNA from 1 species